rnacentral:tRNA from 1 species
GCCGGAGUGGCGGAAUGGCAGACGCGACGGAUUCAAAAUCCGUUGCCCGCAAGGGCGUGUGGGUUCGACUCCCACCUCCGGUAC